CUCAUGCUGCUGGUAUGACCUCCAGCUGCUGACCCUCUGUCCCAGGUUCUGAGGGUACAGAACCAGCAGUGGGUGAUGGGAUGAGGAUGGGCACAGAAUCCAGGUGCUGGGGCUUGUUCUGCAGUGCUGUGUGCCCGACAGUGCUGGAGCAGGUGAUGUUUAUCCUGGCUGCAUGUCACGUACAUGGGAUGAUGCAAU